GCCCGGCUAGCUCAGUCGGUAGAGCAUGAGACUCUUAAUCUCAGGGUCGUGGGUUCGAGCCUCGAGCCCCACGUUUUGGGCG